CAGUGGCGGAUACAGGCCCCACACAUCGCAGCAGUAAACAGGUACUUUGUAUUCUCAAAUUGCACCUGCUUACCCUGGCCCCCUCAAAAUGGAAGAGUGAUGACUAUUUGUCUUCGUAGCACUGUGGGGACACAGAGCCUUAAAUGGAAGAGUGUCAAAAGCAACAUUCCAUAAAGGGCUGUCACUUCCAAUUUUCAAGCAAGGUUGGAAACCAACCAUGAUGUAUGAAACACUGUUGGCCAAAGUGCACAAUUAGUAAUACAAAAUGAAUAAUAUAAACUAUUGUAAAUAUGUGUGGACAUCGUGGCAAUUUGGACAUCAAAAAACACUGCCAAAUUCAGAAAGAGGAAGCUGUAAACUCAUGGCUGUUAGGAAGCUUAACUUCUGUGUACUAGAACCUAUCAAAAUUAAAUUUCUCCAUGUCAA
ensembl:lncRNA novel transcript